UACGUAGGGGGCGAGCGUUGUCCGGAUUUAUUGGGCGUAAAGAGCUCGUAGGCGGUUUGGUAAGUCGGAUGUGAAAUCUCCAGGCUCAACCUGGAGGGGUCAUUCGAUACUGCCAUGACUAGAGUUCGGUAGGGGAGUGUGGAAUUCCUGGUGGAGCGGUGAAAUGCGCAGAUAUCAGGAGGAACACCCGUAGCGAAGGCGGCUCUCUGGGCCGAUACUGACACUGAGGCACGAAAGCGUGGGUAGCAAACAGG
rnacentral:rRNA from 1 species